GAGAGAGGCUUGCAUGCAAAGAUAGAACUGCUAAUUCUUCCUACCCUGGUUGGACUCCAGGGCUCCCUUG
rnacentral:tRNA from 1 species